GGACUGUUGGCUCAGCAGUUAGCGCAUGAGACUCUUAACCUCAAGGUCAUGGCUUCGAGAUCCACAUUGGGCA